rnacentral:rRNA from 1 species
AGAGUGAACGCUGGCGGUAGGCCUAACACAUGCAAGUCGAACGGCAGCACGGUAAGAGCUUGCUCUUAUGGGUGGCGAGUGGCGGACGGGUGAGGAAUACAUCGGAAUCUACCUUUUGGUGGGGGAUAACGUAGGGAAACUUACGCUAAUACCGCAUACGCCCGUUCGGGGGAAAGCCGGGGACCAGCAAAUGGCCUGGCGCUGAUAGAUGAGCCGAUGUCGGAUUAGCUAGUUGGUGAGGUAAUGGCUCACCAAGGCGACGAUCCGUAGCUGGUCUGAGAGGAUGAUCAGCCACACUGGAACUGAGACACGGUCCAGACUCCGUACGGGAGCAGCAGUGGGGAAUA